rnacentral:rRNA from 1 species
AUUGAACGCUGGCGGAAUGCUUUGCACAUGCAAGUCGAACGGCAGCACGGGGGCAACCCUGGUGGCGAGUGGCGAACGGGUGAGUAAUACAUCGGAACGUGCCCAGUCGUGGGGGAUAACGUAGCGAAAGCUACGCUAAUACCGCAUACGAUCUACGGAUGAAAGCGGGGGAUCGCAAGACCUCGCGCGAUUGGAGCGGCCGAUGGCAGAUUAGGUAGUUGGUGGGGUAAAGGCUCACCAAGCCUUCGAUCUGUAGCUGGUCUGAGAGGACGACCAGCCACACUGGGACUGAGACACGGCCCAGACUCCUACGGGAGGCAGCAGUGGGGAAUUUUGGACAAUGGGCGAAAGCCUGAUCCAGCCAUUCCGCGUGCAGGAUGAAGGCCCUCGGGUUGUAAACUGCUUUUUGUACGGAACGAAACGGCCUUUUCUAAUACAGAGGGCUAAUGACGGUACCGUAAGAAUAAGCACCGGCUAACUACGUGCCAGCAGCCGCGGUAAAGUA